rnacentral:lncRNA from 1 species
GGUCCUGAUCCGCUGGUUAUCACAAAGCUUUAUGCAAUUAAGGAGGCGGUUGCAGAUAGAGUUGAGAUGCAUAGGAAUAUUGGGGAACAGAGAAGCCAGUGGAAUAAUAUGCUUUUGACAUCCAUUAAUGGCAUAACUCUAGCUGCUGCUGCUAUGACUGGAAUUGCAGCUAGCAGUGCUGCUGGUAGUGAUGCUAUUUUGGGACUAAAAAUGUCUUCCACUUUGAUGUAUUUGGCUGCUACUGGCAUGUUGGUGAUCAUCAACAAGAGCUAUGACUGGAAUUGCAACAAGCAGUGGUGCUAGUGGUGAUGCUAUUUUGGGACUAAAGAUGUCUUCCACUUUGUUGUAUUUGGCUGCUACUGGCAUGUUGGUGAUCAUCAACAAGAUUCAACCAUCCCAACUCGC